rnacentral:rRNA from 1 species
UGCAAGUCGAGCGGACCGACGGGAGCUUGCUCCCUUAGGUCAGCGGCGGACGGGUGAGUAACACGUGGGUAACCUGCCUGUAAGACUGGGAUAACUCCGGGAAACCGGGGCUAAUACCGGAUGCUUGAUUGAACCGCAUGGUUCAAUCAUGAAAGGCGGCUUCGGCUGCCGUUUACAGAUGGACCCGCGGCGCAUUAGCUAGUUGGUGAGGUAACGGCUCACCAAGGCGACGAUGCGUAGCCGACCUGAGAGGGUGAUCGGCCACACUGGGACUGAGACACGGCCCAGACUCCUACGGGAGGCAGCAGUAGGGAAUCUUCCGCAAUGGACGAAAGUCUGACGGAGCAACGCCGCGUGAGUGAUGAAGGUUUUCGGAUCGUAAAGCUCUGUUGUUAGGGAAGAACAAGUACCGUUCGAAUAGGGCGGUACCUUGACGGUACCUAACCAGAAAGCCACGGCUAACUACGUGCCAGCAGCCGCGGUAAUACGUAGGUGGCAAGCGUUGUCCGGAAUUAUUGGGCGUAAAGCGCGCGCAGGCGGUUUCUUAAGUCUGAUGUGAAAGCCCCCGGCUCAACCGGGGAGGGUCAUUGGAAACUGGGGAACUUGAGUGCAGAAGAGGAGAGUGGAAUUCCACGUGUAGCGGUGAAAUGCGUAGAGAUGUGGAGGAACACCAGUGGCGAAGGCGACUCUCUGGUCUGUAACUGACGCUGAGGCGCGAAAGCGUGGGGAGCGA